UAUUUCGUAUUUAAGUAUGAUUUUGAAAUAAUCUUGAAUGGGCAGUUAUAAUUAUGAAAUUUAUGAUUUUUUUUUCUGCACGAAUAGAUCUUAAAUGACACUGUGAUUCCUAUUUCAAUGUAUUAAUUAAGCGUGUUAGUGUUGACAUUGUGAUGAUAUAUAUGUAAAAUCAUUUAUCAAGGCCUCUCUACCAAAGUCAAUAAUAUUGAUUAACUAAACUCGUUGAUCAUGAAGAAACCAAAUAAUAUAAUCACCUUCUGGAUAUAGUUGAUGACAUUCUGGUCUGUAAGAUUGUUCCCGUGUUCAUCUUUCACAUGGAAUACUGCAAAUUCAAAGCACGCGCACAAAUUAUUAUUGGUCAUAAAAUAUUGAUUAUUUUAUGAAAUAAAAGUACUUGGAUUAAUUGAAUCAUAUAGAUAUAUAUAAGAGAAUUAAUGCAUAUAUAUAAUAUAUAUAUAUAUUUACCAUCCAUGAACCAUCCUGCAUCAGAAGAAAUAUAACUUUUAGAGAUGGUGAAUCAAUCAGAGUAGCAGGAAGUUAUAUUACCAUUUUGGCACCCAACAAUGCAUUGACAAAAGCCUACAGGGUAGAUAAGUUGAGAACACAUAACAAUGACAUUCAACUCAUAUGGCUUCACAGCAGCAGAUAACAGAAGAAGCAGUAUAUCUUUGCACAGGAAAUCCAGGGGCUGGGAGAGCUUAAUAGAGAAGGUUUGAAGAAGAUGCCUCUUUGU